GCCGCGUUCCCGGCACGCCGGGCCCCGGAGAGGCGCCGCGGGGAGCGAGCGCGGGCCGGCAAGGCACAGAUGCGCUGCUGGGGCAGCCGCCGCCACAGCCCGGUGAUCUUUCAUGAUAUUCAUGAUAAUUCAGUACUUCUUUUUGUUUUUUCCAGGUGAUAAGUUAUGUUCAUGGUAUAUUAUGCUCGGUCUUAACAAACGUAGCCCCAGCCUGCACUUCCAUAAUGAGCUGGAGCAGCUGGAAGUGAUCCAAGUACAGUUGUUAUUCUAAUCCCACAUGAUUGUGUAUCAUGAGGAGAGGACAGCCGACGACUCUGUUAGGGUUUCAAGAAAACACAGUUAAGGAGGGCUGGUCUCUUGUUGCUGUGCUCGCCAGCUUUGAAUAAAUAGCCAGUGUGCUGUUUGGGGAGGCUUUGUAUCAUUUAGACAAAGUGAAAAAAGUUUGAAAUCAGUGGUUUUAAAUAAAAACUAAUUUUGCCA